UACGAAGGGUGCAAGCGUUGCUCGGAAUUAUUGGGCGUAAAGGGGAGGUAGGUGGUCUCGUUUGUCCGGGGUGAAAUACCUGAGCUUAACUCGGGAAGUGCCUCGGAAACGGCGAGACUAGAGUACUGGAGAGGGUAGCGGAAUUCCUGGUGUAGCGGUGAAAUGCGCAGAUAUCAGGAGGAACACCGGUGGCGAAGGCGGGUCUCUGGGCCGAUACUGACGCUGAGGAGCGAAAGCGUGGGGAGCAAACAGG
rnacentral:rRNA from 1 species